GAAAGGAGUAAGAUUAUAAUUGCCGAGUUAAUACAGGAGAAGCAAGAAAUUACAAUGUUGCUAGAGCGAAAAGCUGAGGAAUCUGUCAAGCUUGCAUCUGAUCUUGAUAGUCUGAGAGAAAGUUUGAGAUGUCUGCAAGACGAGCUGCAUGUUGAAAAAGGCUUCCGGGACAAACUAGAUGGUACAGUUACAGAACUUGAAAGGAGCAAGAUAUCCAUUGCUGAGUUAAUACAGAACAAGCAAGGUCUUACGAUGUUGUUAGAGGCUAAAGCUGAGGAAUCUGUCAAGCUUGCAUCUGAUCUUGAGAGUCUGAGAGAAAGUUUGAGAUGUCUGCAAGAUGAGCUGCAUGUUGAAAAAGGCUUCCGGGACAAACUAGAGGUUACUGUUGCAGAACUUGAAAGGAGCAAGAUGACCAUUGCUGAGUUAAUACAGUACAAACAAGGUCUUACGAUGUUGUUAGAGG
rnacentral:lncRNA from 1 species